UUGUUUUAAAAAAAAAAAAAAAAAAAAAUUGACCAAUAGCAGGCCGCCACGUGACGUGGGGCCCGCUGAACAGUAACGACCCGGGUUCAUGCAGAAGGGGCGUGGCGAGACAGAGUCGUGACUGUAGCAUAUUUUAAUAAUUUUUUUUUUCGGGAAGCGUGUGAACCCGCCUAUUGAACCUCUAAUGCGGCUGCCCUUAGUAUUUGUAUAAACUAACCGACUAAUCGUGUGCAGGUCUUUGGAUAUUUGGUUGAGAGUUAUUCAAUGUGGCCCAUUUGUUCUACAACGACCAAAUAGCAAAAAUAUGCCCAUUAGCAAAAAUAUGCCCAUUAUAUUAAACGUGAUUUCACACAUUCCACAUCACAAAUAGUCAAAUACUAUUUAAAAAUAACAACGAAAUUAAAAAAAACACAAACAAAACUGUAAAGAUAUCGAUCCGAGUUAUAGAUUAUAGCUCCGACUUAAGCUUCGGCUUGAUUAAGUUGAUUUAUCUGAUCUCGAUCUUGACAAGUGAAAACGCAAUCAAAAACGAAUCAACACACGAGAAAUGUUCAACGUGGAGAAGUCGCUAUACUCACCAGAGCUAGCGCGCUCAGCUAGCAAUUCACUAUAUAAUCAAUGAGAUUACAAGUGUUCAAUAUCAUGAUCCUGAUAUCGUUUGUUCUUCUUUGCAGCUAUUACAAGCGCAUACACAAGGAGUUAACCGGAGAAGAUUACGCCAGCGACUCCGACGGAGAUGACAGCCUUUUAACUUCUGAUUCCUUCGAUGACGGCAAAGGCUCGUAGCUUGAACCAGAGAAUGUUUGGCGACUUCGAGAGCUGCGAUCACUACCGGAUCUUUUCUAUCUUAGUCUUAGCUUUUUCUUCCAGCUUUUUCCUCGCCGAAUCUUGGACCUGCUCGCGCCAUCAUCGUCAUCUUCCAGCUUUUUAGGCCUUUUCGGGUCGUUUUCCGACUUAAGCAGUUUUACGAUUUUCUAAGAAAUCUCUUUCGAUACGACGUCAGUUUUACGAAAUAACUUAAAUUAAUCGUAUAGUUGAGGCAACUUUGGUGCUUAGUUAACUGUUCACGUUUUAUAUGAUUGAUUCGAACAGAUACGAGAAAACUAGUCUUCACGGUUUUUAUCGUACAGUCUCAACUAUAACUCCAGUCGAGACGAAACAAGAGGUGGUUCACUCGAGACCGGAAGAAAGGAAGCUUGGCUGUCGUAAUAGGCCGGAUUGGAUAUCCCCGCUCGCCAUAUGUCGAGCUUGACUUUGGAUCGUCCCGCUCGCCAUAUGGAGGCGAGCAGGUCCGAUCUCCGGUGAGGAACCGACGAUGAAAUAGGAAGGAGAAGUUGUUGUGAGAGAAGAUGAUGAAACGGGAAAUAGAAGUGGUGGGGUGGUCGUGCGGCGGUGGGGUGGUUGUGCGACGGUGGUGGGGUGGUGUAACGGAAACAUAUUAAUGUAAAUUGAUAUACAGAUUUUGUAUUUUAUUAAUAAAAAUUAUUUUGUUUUGUUUUCAUUUCUGUUUUUUUUUUGGUUUUAAAAUAGCCACUGAUAUGUUGAUUAAACCGUGGCUAUACUUAACCACAAAAAAAACAGUAGCAAAACCGUAGUUAAAAUAGCCAUGAAAAUGGAGUGGCAAAACUGUGGUUAUUAGCCACGAAUAGCCACGAGACUAUAGCCACAGUUUUUUUUUCUAUCCAUAAGUUUGGCUAAUUUUUGUAUAGCCACGAUUUUAAGGUGUAUAACCACGAUUUUAAGCUGUAUGAGACAGAUUUUUACUAGUGAUUCCAGCUUAGAUAAAAAGUGAAAGCCGUGUUCUAUCUAGGUUCCGCUCUGACCUUUCCCGUUCUUUCCUGCUUUAUGUGAAGCUCCCUUUAUCAAAAGAAAGCGCUAGUUCGACUUUUAAAAGAUGGUUUAGCUAGGGACUGCUGUCAGUCGCUUCCCCAUUUUAUUUAUGUAAUUUAUUUCAGAUUGUUAUUAUGUCUUCUAGGAUUAUGUUUAAAACUACUUGUUAGAUUUAAGAAUUUCUAAUGUUCGAUGUUAAAUUGCUGAUCAUAAAACUGAUUGGGGUAUUCAUCAUAUUUAAACGAAGAUUGUUUAUUAGAACGUAAACCAACUCUCACUGAAGAUAAGUAUUUAGUCCACAGCAAAAAUCAUUUUUAAUAAAAUUAGACAUUUGAUAGUUUUCCACAGCGAAAAGUGGCUAACUUACUAUUGAGUUCUAGUUCUAAAAUGAACAAAUUUUGGGUUCACUUUCUAUGAUAAACUCUCAAAUUCAUCUUUAUUAUUAACACCAAUCAAAAUUGCCACGUAGGAUUAGAAGAAAAAAAAAUAUUAAAACUCAAAAAAAAAAGGAAAAUAGCUUUAAAAAAAAUAAAAGACUUCGCUUGUUAACGCCGUCGAUGGCUUCUUCUUUUUCAUCGCUCACAAAGAAGAUGGAAGCUGUGUUUGUCUUGAGUCUCCAAUUCUAUGCUUUCAAAUCGAAUUUCAAUUUCUUCUCCAAGCCAAAUCAAGCCAUGUGUGUUCGUUUUGCGUUUAGGGCCCGAGGAAGAAGAUACUUCUUGCGUUGUGGAUAGAUUUGUUUGUUGCUUAUACAAUUCUCUCUAUCAUUGUCCUUUUCUUUCUCAAUUGUAUUUCAAGAGACAAACGUAGGCAAGAGUUUUGAUAUUAAGACAGUUGUUGUAAUACAAAGAAAAGCAUUAAUAUUGAAUGAUUGAAAAGGAAUCUUGGAAUGUAAAAAAAAAGUUGUUUUGAGCUU